UUAAGGUAAAGGUACCUUAGGGAUAUUUCUACGCCUUAAUAAGGGUGCAACAUGUAAUAAAAUCGUUUUACUUAACAAAACUUCCACCAUUCCCACCAUAAACCCUUAAUAUGUUCAUUUUUCAAUUAUUUUAUAAUGUAUACUUCACUGCAUACAUCUAUGUAUACGUAUAUGCAACCAACAACACGCUACAAACAAAAUUUAAUGAGCUGAGUCAAAAUCAUCUGCAAAUAGGAACGCAACCAUUUGAACCGCCCUCUGCUUUGCAGUUGUUUAAUAUUAAUACAAAUACGUCAAAAUUCAGGUUUUUUAAUUAAAGAUUACAAUUAAAAAAAAUCAUCCCCGAUAUCGAAAAUAGUCUUAUGACACAAUUGGACCUUUAGAUUAAAAGUUUUAAUAGCCGGAUAGUUAUACAAACAUAUAUUUAUUGUAUAUUAUGAGAGUUGAUUUUGCAGUAGUAAUAAGUAGAAGACAUCGGUAAUAUCCUUUAGUAGUUUUUCUAUAAUUUUAACGGAAAAGUGUAAUUUUAGACUUUAGGCAUAAGUAUUUUUAAUAAACUUUUAUUUGUUUUAAUAAUUGCGCAUGAUCCUCUUAUGUCUUCUUGUUAUUUGGAAUAGACCAAUGGGAUGCUAGAAUUUGCCAGACGCUAGACCUACACUUUUCCGUAUUAGUUUUCCGCGGAGCGUCGGUGUGAGUACCAAAACGUGUUCGUGCUUGUUUCGCGUGUAGUGUUAACGAAUAAACAUUAAUAAACAUUUUUAAAAACAUUAAUAAGUGUGUGUGGUGCAUCAAUUCAAAUCUACUUUUGAUAAGUAUCUCCCUGUAUAAAGCUGGGGACGAAUUUCUCUCAAAUUAAUAGGUACUAGAAAUAAUAAAAUAUUGCGUAAUAUUAACUUAAUAUAUAUGAUAAUGUUAUUUGCAGGACGAAUCUUGAGACGAAAUGCAAAACAAUUGUGUUAUAUGCAUUCAGUUAUUUUGCACAAACACUUGAACUGCAACAAGUGAAUGGGAGGGGAAAUCGCGUCUACACUUUCAAAUGUCUGUUCUUCUGUGUGCGGUUCUUUGUGAGCUUCUACCUGUUGGAAUGCCAGAAAAUGCUGAUAAGAUGGUCCGUAUUAGGCAGCCUGCGUGCG